rnacentral:rRNA from 1 species
CUGCGAAUGGCUCAUUAAAUCAGUUAUCGUUUAUUUGAUAGUACCUUUACCUGGAUAACCGUGGUAAUUCUAGAGCUAAUACAUGCUAAAAACCUCGACUUCGGAAGGGGUGUAUUUAUUAGAUAAAAAACCAAUGCCCUUCGGGGCUCCUUGGUGAUUCAUAAUAACUUAACGAAUCGCAUGGCCUUGCGCCGGCGAUGGUUCAUUCAAAUUUCUGCCCUAUCAACUUUCGAUGGUAGGAUAGUGGCCUACCAUGGUCUUAACGGGUAACGGGGAAUUAGGGUUCUAUUCCGGAGAGGGAGCCUGAGAAACGGCUACCACAUCCAAGGAAGGCAGCAGGCGCGCAAAUUACCCAAUCCCAAUUCGGGGAGGUAGUGACAAUAAAUACUGAUACGGGGCUCUUUCGGGUCUCGUAAUUGGAAUGAGUACAAUCUAAAUCCCUUAACGAGGAACAAUUGGAGGGCAAGUCUGGUGCCAGCAGCCGCGGUAAUUCCAGCUCCAAUAGCGUAUAUUAAAGUUGUUGCCGUUAAAAAGCUCGUAGUUGAACCUUGGACCUGGCUGAUCUGUCCUCCUAAUCGAGCGCACGGAUUCGGUCGGGUCUUUCCUUCUGGGGAGCCCUAUGCCCUUCACUGGGUGUAGUGGGGAACCAGGACUUUUACCUUGAAAAAAUUAGAGUGUUCAAAGCAGGCCUUUGCUCGAAUACAUUAGCAUGGAAUAAUAGAAUAGGACAUCGGUUCUAUUUUGUUGGUUUCUAGGACCGCUGUAAUGAUUAAUAGGGAUAGUCGGGGGCGUCAGUAUUCAAUUGUCAGAGGUGAAAUUCUUGGAUUUAUUGAAGACUAACUACUGGGAAAGCAUUCGCCCAAGGAUGUUUUCAUU